rnacentral:lncRNA from 1 species
AAAGUAUAAAAAUGCAUGUCAAUCUAAUAGACGACGUAGCAGAAGAGGAGAACAUGUCAUUAAAGACAAGUAGUAGGUUAAGGCAAUUACAGCAGACACUUUAGAUUCUGGUUCGGCCUUCGGCAAUAACUAUGAAAACGAUCGACGAAACUUAUACAAAGCAACAACACACAUGAGAGCAUGCAUGAAGUCAUAGAGAGAAAGAGGUAUUAAAUGGAUUGGUUUUUUGAGUUUGACCCAUCAAUGUGAAUAGUGUUUUUUUAUAGACCCAACAUGUUCUUGUCACACCAUGAUUGAAUCAGAUGCGUCGGCAAUAUAACCAUUAAGUUUGUCGUGGUAGCUAUAUCAAGAAAAAGAAAAAAAAUCUAUGGACUUAGAAAAUAUUUGUUAGUAGUUUUUAUUAUGAGCGCAAAUUUCGGAUUUUAAUGUGAAUAACGAGUGGUUGUGUUGUGUACUAAUUAAUCACUCUAGAGACUGUUGAAUAGUGAUGGAUGCCGUGAUUUAUUCAGAUUACGACUUGGAUUGUUUCAUUUGCAUUUUUUUCUUCUUAUUCUUUUGUCAUUUGCAGAAGUGUAAGCCAUACUAAAACGACAUGCAUUUUUGUAUUAUACAAAAAAAAUUGUAGGGAAAAAUGACAAAAAAACAAAUUAUAUAUUUUAUAGAAGAUAAUCAAAUAUACACACACACAUAUAUAUAUAUAUAUAUAUAACUUAAAUGCAUUUGAAAACGCAGAAAUUUGCACAAAAUAAAAAAAAAACUUACGUUUUUUUUUUAAAUUUAUCUUUAAUUUAUCGUAUGUCGUUUUUUUUUGUUAGAUUAGCAUUGACUUUUUGAAAUCUCAAAUAAAAGCCAAUGCCGAUUACUUUAGAUAUUAACAUGCCAUUUGGAUUUGGUAGAAGUUUUUUUUGCAAAUUUAUCACAUAAACUGAAAUCCAAAAAUUCAAAUGGUCCAAACAAAACAAAUAAAUCCGCAUUAAAAAUUCGAAUUCGAGUACACUAAAAAUCAAAGGGAUGCAACUAAUGCAAACGAAAAUUCUUAGGUUAUGAUCUAACUUUUAAGGGUUAGAUUCUCACUUGUUAAUUCAUAGUACCAAACAACAAAUUCAUUACAUCCUAAAAGCUGUAAAUAUAUUGCUAUUUGUUAUCAUAGAUCUAGGCCCCCUUCUUGUUUUAUUCUUCCUCCGUUUACGUUUCCAUGUUUUCAUGAAUCUAGUCUAGCUAUAAAACUUCCAUGCUAGUUACAUUUGUGACAAUUUCUAAAGGCUCUAUGAAGUUGGAGCAAGUUAAGAACAUGCCUAUUAUUUUUUUUGUUAUUGAGAUCUUAAUCUAUAUCUUAAACUUAAAAAAAUGAUCUUAACAAAUAACAACACAUGACCAUCUUUUAAAUAAUCUAUUAUACAUAGUUUUGGUCUUCGAAACAUCGAUGAUUCCACAUGGGAAAAAUACAAAAAUACAAAAAAAAAAAGAGUAAAUGAGAAGAAGACCUUUUUGCACUGUCUCUUUGGCUUUGCAGAAUCCAUUGAUAUAUAAUGUAGUUUCAUCUCAUGGACCCCUUUUUCAUGUCCUCUUCUACACGUUAAACAUAAUAAUAACAAAUCUUCUGUAUGCUUUUGUCGUUAAACCCACUCAACAAAUAUCGAUGUGAAAGAAGAAACAAACCAAAUUUGCACUGUGUUUGGUUUCUUGAAGAUUAGGUGUGAUCACUAGUGUAGAGAUCAGUGCAACUGUUAUUAAAUGCCUCUAAUUUUGUGGGUUAAAAAAUUGAAGUUUUUUUUUUAUUAUUAUUAGGGGACCAUGGAAUCAUAAUGCAUGUGCAAAGGCAUGUGCCUUUUGAUUCACUCAUCUAUCAAACAAAACACAAACUUAAAAGCUUUAGUCAAACCCCAUCAAAAUUCUCCCCUGGCCUCUUUGACUGGCUUUUUCCAAGUUGGUUUUUUGGUUACUAAUUUUAAUUAUUACUUCUAAAUCACACAUCAUAAUCACAACAUAAAGCAAAGCAAGACACAUGUUUCUGUUCCUAAUUAGAGAAAGAACAAUAGAGUUUUUGUAAACAUAUAUACAAAAUUGACUAAAAGCCAAGCUUUGUCCAAAACAUGUGUUUCAAUUUUUUCAGGUGUAAAUUAACAAAUAAAGUGAUAUCACAUUGGUUAGAAAGUUUGCAUGAUAUUGAAAACCCAAGUGAAAUCUAAACUCAAACCAAUUUAUUUACCAUUGUAUCAAAGAACAUAGAAGCAAGACAUAUGGUUAAAAGAUGGAAAAUAAUCAAGAGAAGAAAAGGACAAAUAGAGAGUAGCCAAAGUAUCCUAUGUUCCUUGUUUGACAAAAGAUGAUGAUGAACAUAUAGAGAGACUAGAGUGACAUUACAAUACUAAUAUGAUUACCAAGAGAUCAUUCAUCAUCACCAAGAUAUUUCAAGAAACACCUUGAUGGAAAAAGAUUAAAACUAAAUAUUAAUGUAUUCAUUCUUGUUUAAGAUUUAAUAAAGAGGUUAAGAAAACACUUAUUGUGAAAACAUAAAAGAUUAAAGUCUUUAAUAUUCAGUUUCUGACUGCUAACAAAGAAGGAAUUGCACUCAAGUUUGGAGUUGUGUUCUUGCUUGUAGAAUCUGAAAUGGUACGGCCUCUUUUACCAGAGGAAGAAGAUGAAGUGAAAGCUCUCAUUGGACUUGCAAAUGCCCAACCCCAGCUUCUGUUCCUUCCUCCACCAUGACCCAUGCUAUGAUGAUGAUG